rnacentral:rRNA from 1 species
CAAUAGCGUAUAUUAAUGUUGUUGCAGUUAAAAAGCUCGUAGUUGGAUUUGUGGCGUACGACGGGCUCCGGGCACUUGUUGUCUGAGUAGCUUGUCGUUGCCAUCCUUGGGUGGAACCUGUGUGGCAUUAGGUUGUCGUGCAGGGGAUGCCCAUCUUUUACUGUGAAAAAAUUAGAGUGUUCAAAGCAGGCUUAUGCCGUUGAAUAUAUUAGCAUGGAAUAAUAAGAUAGGACUUUGUCGCUAUUUUGUUGGUUUGCGCGAUAAGGUAAUGAUUAAUAGGGACAGUUGGGGGUAUUCGUAUUCCAUUGUCAGAGGUGAAAUUCUUGGAUUUUUGGAAGACGAACUACUGCGAAAGCAUUUACCAAGGAUGUUUUCAUUAA